ensembl:lncRNA
GUGGGUGGGUAUAUAAGGAGAUGGAGAGGGGCUAUAGGAUGUUUGCAGGUGGUAACUGGGUGGAGCUGAGGGAUUUUAUGCUGCUGGCCUGAGGAAUAGUGUCAGCGCUUGUGUGUGAACUGGGAGGAAACAUGAAGAGGAUGAAAGGUCCAUACAGGAAAAGCCAGGUGCUGUGUAUGGAAUUAAAGAAUAACAGGAGCUGGCAGAAAGGUGCGUGGGCUCAUGUCCCAGGCCUAUGCAGUGCUGGACCUUGGUGACUGUGGAAGGAUGGAGCAGAGCAGUGCUGACCCCAUUGCAGGGACAACACUGUAUCUCUGGGGCUCUUUGGCGUUGGUUCCCUCUCACCAAGCACGGGUCCGUAUUGUGGAGACAAUGAAGAUAGAAGCAAAGGGUGAACGUGGAGACCAACUUCUCCCAUUUCAGGUUGUGCCUUCCAGUAAUUUUCAUAGAAUCACAGAAUGGUUUGAGUUGGAAGGGACCUCUGAAUGCCGUCUGGUCCCACUGCCUGCACUGAGCAGGGACACCCACAGCUCCAUCAGUGCUCAGAGCCCCGUCCAGCCUGACUGUGGGUGUGUGCAGGGAUGGGGCACCGCCACCUCUCUGGGCACCCCGUGCCAUUCCUCACCAU